rnacentral:lncRNA from 1 species
GUUAAAUGAAAAUUUUAAAAGAGCAAUUAUUAAAUGGUCGUGCAUAUUGUUUAAUUAAUUCUUGUAUUAAUUUAGUUUUUUUUUGUAUUAAAUAAAAAUAUUUUAUUAAUUAUAAAUUUUGAUAUUAAUUAAAUUAAAAUAUUAUUAAUUUUUUAUUAAUUAUUAUAAUUAUAGUUAAUAAUAACCAAAUAUUACUAAACAAUCACAUAUAAUAGUAUUU